AUUGCCUGGCCUUAGAGAUGUCAACGGGUCGGAUUCGGGGUGGAUUUUUAAAAACCUAAACCCGAACCCGACUCCAAACCCGAGACCCGAACCCGAACCCGAACCCGACGGAUUUUAAAAAUCCAUAUCCAAACCCGAACCUGACAAAAAAUCCGAAACCCGAAUCCGAAUCCGAACCCGAACCCGAAAAUUUGAACCCGAAACAAUUAUUUCUUUUUUCAAUAUUUCAAAAUAUAUUAUAUUAAAUCUAAA
rnacentral:lncRNA from 1 species